GCCCUUCAACAAAGGGGGCACAUGCAGAUGAGACUCCGUCCACCCCAGGCAGCUUUCCUGAGCCCUGGAGGACAGGCUUGAAAUGACUCCUAGGCUUCUGGUGACCCUUGUCACCUAUCUAAUGCGUGACCUAUCCAAUCCUUCCUCUCAUGGAAACACCAACUCAUCCAUGCCCUCUGUGCUGAAACUUCGUCUCAGCCUGCUGGAAUCACCUGCACCCCAUGGGAACUGUAGCCAUAUCUUCAGUCCUGUGAGCCCCCGUCAUGGCCUGUCACAGGAGUAAAUGAGGAGUAAGGCCCAGAAUACUCAGUACCUCUCAAUGACCCUCAGACGCUGUAGGAAGAGGAUUGGUUCACCUUUUAACCCAGAAUUUCUCACAUUGAAUGGACAGGAUGCAUUCCAAGAGGCCAGAGUAUGUGCAUCUCAGCUCCUGAUGGUUUCCACCACCACCAUUACUUUCUCUAUGUCAAGAUACCUGGGAAGCCGGUGUUUCAUUUGCAUUCUUGGAGCCCAGGAACUGUCUUCUACAAACUUUUCUUCCUAGUACCAUGUAAACGUACACAGGAAACGUUCAGAAAACAUCAGCCAAAUAGAAGAAUAAGGAAAUUCCUUCACUGACUAGAUAUUGGUGUUUGAUUCUGUCCUGCUUUGUACUCAAUGGCUAUUUCGGGGUUUCCAUUGCGGAAAACUAUUUGGAAAAUUGCAAGCCACGAGACAAGCCUCUAAGCUACUCCAGGAUCAUUGAGGACUCUCCAUGGGUUCUUAUUGUUAAAGAUCUUAACUCCUCAAGCCACUGCAUUUUUACUAUAUGCCUUGAACUACAAGAUGUGUUAAGAUUUAUAGGAUAAGGUUCUCAUCUCUAAAAACUCAUGGUCUCGAUGGAGAAGCAGUAUUUACACACAUGGAGAAGUUGAGAGUACUUGAAUGUGGAGUAUAAAGUGUGCGAUAUUGACAAGAAGCUCUACGAAAGUUCAGGAAGAGGAGGAGCAAGUGAGGAUGGAGAUGGACUUUGCAGAAUGGAGGAGAGGCAAAGAAACGGUUAGAAACAAUCUACAUAAUGAAAAGUCACUUUUGGGAGUUGUUUUAAGGCAGAGUAUCAUAUCGCAUCAAAACCGCUCCAUAAGUCCUGCCACUCCACGUGCAAUGCCAUGAACUUGAAGAAACUGCUGGUAAGAGAAAGCAAAUGCUGUGACCAGGCAAGCUCCUUUGCUGGCUGACUUUCUGCUAAUUCUGCAGCUGGAUGCAGCAGAAGAGGAUGGAAGGCAGAAGGAAGGGAAAAGUGGCUUCCUUCCCGAUUACUGCCAGUCCUGUCAGUGUUGCCCAAGACUGCCAAUUUGUUCCACCAGCAGCAGUGCCUUCGGACUUCUGCCUCAGUGUUUUCCAGCAGUCCCAGUGAGAGGUGACAACGCGCUAGCAGCCCUCACUUACUCUUGGCGCCUCCUGGGCCUCGGCGUCCACUCUGGCUGCGCUUGAGGAGCCCUUCAGCCCGCGGCUGCACUGUGGGAGCCCCUCUCUGGGCUGGCUGAGGCCGGAGCCAGCUCCCUCUGCUUGUGGGGAGAAGAAUCUUGGUCGUCCAGAAAGCUUGCUAUAGCUGCCCAGCAUUUGCCUCCUCCACAAAGAAGGACCAAAAGAACAAGUAGACAAUCACAUGCCAAAUAAAAUGUCUAAAGGAGAGCACUGAAGCUCAGCAAAAACGUUACAAAGACCCUCUGAGGUGCAGAAACUCGGGAUGGCAGCACAAAGAGGAAAGCAAAGCAGCCGGUCAGGAUCAGCUCACAGUCAAGGGCGCCCCGCCUUGAGUAGGAAAUGUAAGCAGGAGAUGCCCUGCAGGCAACAUUCCCACCACAAAUGCCUGCAAGCCUAGCUGUAGGAGAGCCUCGCAGUGUUGAGCCCAGUGCGGGAGCUGCCUGGAGUCUCUGUGACUACAUUACUCCAGAGAGGCCACUGGGUCCCUCCUUAGUCCCUGGGACCCAAGCCGCUGCAGCACAGUAUCAUUUUGAGGACAGAGCCACUGCCAGAAUGCUUCCUGUCCUGGGGCCCGGUAACCCCUGCAUGUCCUCAUCACUGGAGCCCCAAUAUCAUUCCACAGUUGUAUGAGGAGUAAAAAUAACUAUAAAUAAAGAUAACUCAAGAAUUCUAUAAGCAAGCAUACACAUGAAAUUCAUUUUAUAAGAGGAAAGCUAACUCCAUCUCUCUUGAAAUAUGGAAUAGGUUCUUGAAGCAAUUCUAAAUGCUGAUCUGCUGGAAUGAUGGCUUCAUUGCACAAGAAUUCUGCUUAGUUCAUUGAAGUCUCCUUGAAGAAGUCAGUCUGAGAAUGGGGGAAUUCCGUUGUUGGUCAGAAGAAUUCUUUGGUCACUAUUGGAAGUGGGUUCAGUUUAGGGUGACUAUUGAUCAACAGGGUUCAUGGGUUUGCUAAAACUCAUUUCAGGCAAGCUUUGGAAGUGCAGUUCGCUUGGUGCUUAUGGGGUUAAAAACAGGAGGAAGAGAAUUUCACAUUAUUGGAGGGCCUGAAAGGAAACUGAUUCCCGCAAGAUGCUCAGACAAGAUCAAACCCAGCCCCUUUUCUGGUUUGGAAUUUCUCUGGGCUAUAAAGGUAGAAGAAAAGGCCCUGCAUGGGCCCACUCUAAGUGCUUGGAGGUUUUAGAUAAUUUUAUUAAAUUGUAGAAUCUUAAACAGAACUACAAGGUUGCUUUUAAAACCAGAUCUCAGAUUUCUUUGAGCUAACAAAUGGUAAAAUGUAUCUUUAGUAUUAGAGUGAGAUAAAGGUAGUUAUAACUUUUUUUUUUACUUAUUUUAUGUUAACGUAUGCAACAAAGGGUACAAAUUGUAGGUACGCAGCUCAUUGAACUUUUAUGUCUGCACAUGCCUAUGAAACCAACACCCAGAGUAAGAUGCGGAUAAUUUUCUGCUCCCCUGAAAAUUCCCUUGUGCCUUUUCCUCAUCAGUACCUCCAAAGGUAACCACUAUUUUGAUUUCCAUUACCAUAGAUGAGUUAUACUUGUUUUUGAAAAGAUUAUUUGAAAUGUGUAAUAUAAAUAAUAGCGGUUGCUUAUCUUACAGAAAUAUCACUGAGAAUUCAUUUCUUCUCUCCUUCAUUUAUUCAUUUGUUCAAAACACUGUCUAGUACCAACAUUGUCCACCGGGCGUUGAGAAUACAAUAUUGAAGAAGAGUCACUGCCUGCCCUCUGGAAAAAUCAGAGUAUUUGAAAGAAUACACACAAGUAAACAGGCAGCUAUGGCAAAGUGGGUAAAAGCUGCAAAACAGGGAAGUUUCGCCAAGUGUCAGAUGCCAAGAAGUGUCAGAUGCCAAGAAGAAAGGGUGCAUGACAUAGACUUGGGGGGGUCAGUAGUGGUUUCUGGAACGAGUGACAUUUAGACUGAAACUGGAAGGAUAUGAGUAAGGGCUAAUCGGACCAAGAUGAAGAGAUACAGAAGCAGAAGGAACAGUAGGAACAAAUGCUCAGAGGCAAAAGAAAGCUUUGAAUAUUUGAGGAACUGAAAAGCAAAACAACAAAAAAUAGCCAUCCCUUGACUAGACAAGUGACCUGGGGUCAGAUCCUGAAGGGCUUUGCAGAUCACUUUUCCGCUUGUAGACUUUGUACUUGACUUUAAGGGCCAUGGAGAGCCACUGAAGCAUUUUCAGCAAGGGACUGUCAUCAGCAGAUUGGUAUUUGUUUUGAAGUAGCACAUGUAAGAGAAAAUAACAAUAUGGACAAAUAAAGAGUUUGAAAAACAACUUUGCUUUGAUACUUUAGGAUGAAAUAUCUGAGAUAGCAGCGCCCCCCCCCCCAUCAGCCAUUUUUAAUGACACUACUAUUUGAGCACAAGUUGCAAGAAAAUUUGCAACAAAUAGGCUUUUUCUGUAGAACACAAAGCAGGGAUGUUUGAACGAUGCAUUAUUUGAAUUCCAUCUUAGUAGGAAGCCAUCCAUAAUAGGAGGAAGUUGAGGAAUAGGCCUAAUGUUCACAGUGGCACAGGUGGCGUUUGCAUCUGCCUUCAAUGUUCCUAUGAUACGAAUCCUCCACUGCAGAAAAUUCCUCGUGGAAUUUUCUAUUUUAUGUGUUAAACUUUAUCGAAAUCUUUUCCUGAUGUUUAUAUUUCUGUGAUAAUCAUUAUUAAACUGAAAAAUGCGGAA
rnacentral:lncRNA from 1 species